rnacentral:rRNA from 1 species
GAUGAACGCUGGCGGCGUGCUUAACACAUGCAAGUCGAACGGGAUCCCAGGAGCUUGCUCCUGGGUGAGAGUGGCGAACGGGUGAGUAAUGCGUGACCGACCUGCCCCAUACACCGGAAUAGCUCCUGGAAACGGGUGGUAAUGCCGGAUGCUCCAGUUGGAUGCAUGUCCUUCUGGGAAAGAUUCUAUCGGUAUGGGAUGGGGUCGCGUCCUAUCAGCUUGAUGGCGGGGUAACGGCCCACCAUGGCUUCGACGGGUAGCCGGCCUGAGAGGGCGACCGGCCACAUUGGGACUGAGAUACGGCCCAGACUCCUACGGGAGGCAGCAGUGGGGAAUAUUGCACAAUGGGCGCAAGCCUGAUGCAGCGACGCCGCGUGCGGGAUGACGGCCUUCGGGUUGUAAACCGCUUUUGACUGGGAGCA